AAACAUUACAUGGUGCUUGUGUCACUUAAUUUUUAAGCGUGUAUUCAUUUCAGCUGUGAAGUACUUUCUACAGGUAAAAAGUGCAGAAUCUUAUGCUAGUAUAAUGAAGAGUGCUGGAAUUGAUAUUGACAUUGAGGAUAGAAAGAAAACAAUUUUGGAGCGCUCACAUUUAUUAGCAAAAAGUGUCAAGGGAAACAUUGUCUUUCAGGAAAGCUUGUUCAAUGAGGUUGUAAAUCUUGUUGAGGCACCUGUUCCAGUGCUUGGAAAGUUUAAAGAGUCUUUCUUAGAGCUUCCAGUCGAUCUCUUAACUAUGGUAAGUUGUUGAGA